rnacentral:lncRNA from 1 species
AGAGCAUGAGCAGUGAGUGAGCAGUGCCCAUGCGUUGUGAGGCGGCCUCCAUGGUAUAAGGUUUAGGCAAAUAAUGAUGAACAAAAAUGGUCAGUCUGUGUUCCUGCUGACCCAGCACAGUGGGGACGCUGUGUAGGACAUGACCUUUGGGGGAAAGGACACAAGAACUCAGCGUGGGGGAUCCAGAAAAGAAGUCGCACGUAUUGAAGCCAGUAACGCCAAGCCAGUGAAUUCUCCUUGACGAGAAAGACCCACUUACUCUGCAGAAGAGAUAUAUGACAGCUGACAAUCCCUGGAGGAGAAUCUUUCUACUAAAUUGGUAAGGGAUGCUAAGCAAAUGAUGUGGACUCAGGAAACAACGCAUUUCAUGAUAUACGGUUGCCUCUCAAGGUGAAUUCGAGACCCCUCUUGAAUUACAAAGAGUUGAAAACAUUCAAGUACGGAAUAAACUAUUACUGCGAAUACGCUCAUAUGACACAAGAACAAUCUCUGAGCUUCUUUGAGGAUGUCCAGAUGACUGCUGACUGCACUAAUUGCAUCAAUCGUGUAUCCAUACAGGCCUGCCACAAGAAUACGAAGGCCAGAGCUCCAGCAGCUGUUGGAGCCACGAUGUGACCCUGAAGGCAGGAAACUCAGCUUUGGAAGGCAUCUAUUCAACGAAGACGAAUCCUGGAAUGGGGAUGGAAAUGAUGGCUCAUGUCUUAGCAAACUACCAGUACGUCUACUAGAACCGGAACUGAUCCGAGAGGACAGGGAAGUCAGUGUGGGCGGCUCUAAGGAGCCUCCCUCUCUACAGCUGCGGCUCAGAGGAUUACGGCGCUUCAUCCACAAGGCAACAUUGCACAAGUAGCUUUUGAACAAAAGUCAUGGAUACUAUUAAUGAUAUGGUAAUCCUUAAUCGAGCUACCUCCCAGUAGUGAUUAUACUGACAUGGGAAGAAUAUCUAAGUCGUGGAGGCAGCCCACAACAACACUGUGUCAUUGUUCACCCCGGGCUCGACCAGGACUAACUUUUACCAGCAUCUCUAACGUCACCUUUCCCCUGAUGCCUCCCCACAACCCCUGGCCCCAGCUCCCAUUCCCGCCCCAUCAUAGCAAAAAAGUAGCAAAGAAAACCCUGAUCCUAAA